rnacentral:rRNA from 1 species
AUUGAACGCUGGCGGCAGGCCUAACACAUGCAAGUCGAGCGGAUGAAGGGAGCUUGCUCCUGGAUUCAGCGGCGGACGGGUGAGUAAUGCCUAGGAAUCUGCCUGGUAGUGGGGGAUAACGUCCGGAAACGGGCGCUAAUACCGCAUACGUCCUGAGGGAGAAAGAGGGGGAGCUUCGGACCUCACGCUAUCAGAUGAGUUUAGGUCGGAUUAGCUAGUUGGUGGGGUAAAGGCCUACCAAGGCGACGAUCCGUAACUGGUCUGAGAGGAUGAUCAGUCACACUGGAACUGAGACACGGUCCAGACUCCUACGGGAGGCAGCAGUGGGGAAUAUUGGACAAUGGGCGAAAACCUGAUCCAGCCAUGCCGAGUGUGUGAAGAAGGUCUUCGGAUUGUAAAGCACUUUAAGUUGGGAGGAAGGGCAGUAAGUUAAUACCUUGCUGUUUUGACGUUACCAACAGAAUAAGCACCGGCUAACUUCGUG